CCCUUAGAUGUCCUGGGCCGCACGCGUGCUACACUGACGCAUACAGCGAGCACUUUCCAGUUCCGAGAGGCUACUGGUAAUCAUCAAUAUGCGUCGCGAUGGGGAUAGAUCUUUGGAAUUCUGGAUCUUGAACGAGGAAUGCCUAGUAAUCGCAGGUCAUUAGCCUGCGAUGAUUAAGUCCCUGCCCUUUGUACACACCGCCCGUCGCUACUACCGAUUUCGAGUGGUCAGGUGAAUCUUUCGGACUGUGGGCGCCCUUGAGGUGUUCGCGGAAAGUCAGGUAAAUCUUAUCACUUAGAGGAAGUAAAAGUCGUAACA
rnacentral:rRNA from 1 species